CGUGCAGACUACGGGCUUGAGUUAGUAGACCUGCUGCUGGGUUCGCGUGGAAGCUGGGAGCAGGGAGGACGCCGACGCCACGGGGUGCUGAAGGGAAGCGUUCGGCCGGGUUGCUCUUGACCCGGCGAGCGCAGACGACCGCUGAGGAGCACGCUGCCGGCCCGGCUCGGCUCAGGAGGGGAGCCCGAAAGAAACCUGUGAACUACCCGCCUGGGGGCUUAUGCCUCCGCGCGAGAAGUCCCACUAGUGGCAAGCCAUGGUUCUUCUAAGAGUCAUUUAAAGGGCCUAAGAGAAGAUUUUCUCCAAGAAUGGGCAGUUCAGAGGCUCCACAUGAGUAAUCUCUACGCCCAAUGUGGGGCUCAAACUCACCAACCC